rnacentral:rRNA from 1 species
UACGGGGGGGGCAAGCGUUGUUCGGAAUUACUGGGCGUAAAGGGCUCGUAGGCGGCCAACUAAGUCAGACGUGAAAUCCCUCGGCUUAACCGGGGAACUGCGUCUGAUACUGGAUGGCUUGAGAUUGGGAGAGGGAUGCGGAAUUCCAGGUGUAGCGGUGAAAUGCGCAGAUAUCAGGAGGAACACCGGUGGCGAAGGCGGGUCUCUGGGCCGAUACUGACGCUGAGGAGCGAAAGCGUGGGGAGCGAACAGG